rnacentral:rRNA from 1 species
GGGUUUGAUCCUGGCCCAGGAUGAACGCUGGCGGCGUGCCUUAGGCAUGCAAGUGGAACGAUCCUUAGAGUAAUCGAAGGAAAGUCGCGAACGGCUGAGUAUAUAGUAGGAAUCUACCCUUUGGCGGGGAAUACCCCCGAGAAAUCGGGGCUAAUACCGCAUGACCUCGUGAGAGAAAAGGGCGUAACUGCCCGCCGAAGGAGGAGCCUACUUCCCAUCAGCUUGUUGGUAGGGUAACGGCCUACCAAGGCUACGACGGGUAGGGGGCGUGAGAGCGUGACCCCCCAGAAUGGCACUGAGAUACGGGCCAUACACCUACGGGUGGCAGCAACCGGGAAUCGUGCGCAAUGGACGAAAGUCUGACGCCGCGACGCCGCGUGAGGGAUUGAAGGCGCUUGUCGUCGUAAACCUCUUUUGACCUGAGAGAGAUCGAAGGUAGAAUAAGCACUCGCUAACUACGUGCCAGCAGCUGCGGUAAUACGUAGAGUGCAAGCGUUAUCCGGAUUUAUUGGGCGUAAAGCGUUUCGUAGGNNNNNNNNNNUAUCCGGAUUUAUUGGGCGUAAAGCGUUUCGUAGGCUGUUAACUAAGUUUCACUUCAAAGACCGGAGCUCAACUUCGGGAAGGGGUGAAAUACUAUUUGACUUGAAAUACUCCGGGGUUACUGGAACUGUCGGUGUAGGGGUGAAAUCCGUUGAUAUCGACAGGAACUCCAAGGGCGAAGGCAGGUAACUAGGAGAUAUUUGACGCUGAGGAACGACAGCUAGGGGAGCGAAAGGGAUUAGAGACCCCUGUAGUCCUAGCCGUAAACGAUGCUCGCUAGCUCGCCGAGUUUGACUUGGUGGGCGUAAGCUAACGCGUGAAGCGAGCCGCCUGGGGAGUACGAACGCAAGUUUAAAACUCAAAGGAAUUGACGGGGACCUGCACAACCAGUGGAGCAUGUGGUUUAAUUCGAAACAAACCGAAGAACCUUACCCGGGUUUGACAUCCAGCACUUAAUGCCUAUGUAGAAAUACUGUAGGAAUCGUAAUUUAUUAUGAAGUGCCGGACAGGUGUUGCAUGGCUGUCGUCAGCUCGUGCCGUGGGGUGUUCCCUUCAGUGGGGUAACGAGCGCAACCCCCGUCUCGUGUUGAAUAUUCACGAGAGACUUUCGACCUUUUGGUUGAAGGAAGUGGGGACGACGUCAAGUCAGCAUGGCCCUUAUAUCCGGGGCGACACACAUGCUACAAUGGAGCCGACAAUGGGUUGCCAAGCCGUAAGGCGGAGCUAAUCCCAUCAAACGGCUUCUCAGUGGGGAUUGAGGGCUGCAACUCGCCCUCAUGAACGCGGAAUUGGUAGUAAUCGCGGAUCAGCUAUGCCGCGGUGAAUACGUUCUCGGGUCUUGUACACACCGCCCUUUAAUACAUACAUCGUAUUUUACGAAGUAUAGUAAUAUAGGAAUAGGUAAGAACGCGCCUUGCAGUCAUAUCUUCUAGUGAGUUUAAAUCUC